rnacentral:lncRNA from 1 species
CGGGGAUUGCCCGUGCUAACACCCCCGAACUUUUAGAAAGAACAAAACACGUAUGACGUUUAGACGUUUGAUUGUCGGGUGUCACGUAUGAUGUUCGUAAUCAGUGGAGAAAAGUUUCCAAAACACGUUCGUUCGCUUAAAUCGAUCGAAUCAGAGUAUUUUACUUCACGAUCAAGGCCUAAGGUGUUAAAAUCCGUACUAAGAUCGUGAGUUGUGUUAGCCCGGAUAGGACUAAUAUACUAUUGAUGGCACUUUCGGUUUUUUUUUUUUUGACUAAAAUCAUUUCUUACUUAUAUAGUAUCGUACUUAAUUAUUACCAAAUCACAUAUAGCUUCUGGGGCCAUUUAGAAAACUAUAGAUAAUAAAAAUUAUCGAGUUUUAGCAAAUGACCUGUAAAAAUCAUCUAAUCUAGCCGUCCUAGAUCACCGCACUACUAAGUAUACGAUUCUCUUAGAAUC